UACGAAGGGUGCAAGCGUUACUCGGAAUUACUGGGCGUAAAGCGUGCGCAGGCGGUUUUGUAAGCCAGAUGUGAAAUCCCCGGGCUUAACCUGGGAAUGGCAUUUGGGACUGCAAGGCUGGAGUGUGGCAGAGGAGACUGGAAUUCCUGGUGUAGCAGUGAAAUGCGUAGAUAUCAGGAGGAAUACCGAUGGCGAAGGCAGGUCUCUGGGCUGACACUGACGCUCAUGCACGAAAGCGUGGGGAGCAAACAGG
rnacentral:rRNA from 1 species